UCUACACCUAAAACUCAUCAUAGGCGGAUUAGAUUCAAGGGGGCAAAAGAAAAGAACCUCUUUAGAGCUUGAAUGACUUCCUAAUGAUGCCUAAAAAUUGGGUCACACAAAAAACCAACCAACAAACAAUGGUCUGGCAUUUCCUGACUUAAAACAUACGUUUUGUUAGACUUAUAUCGAACAUAUGCUAAGCAGCCAAACAGCCCAAACCCCAGCCUCCACUCAAAGCUUG
rnacentral:misc_RNA from 1 species